rnacentral:rRNA from 2 species
GAACAGGAAUUAGCCCAGCACUGAAUCCCGUCGUUGUAACGGCGGCGGGAGAUGUGGUGUUCGGGAGGUUCCGCUUUCUUGUCGUCGUCCACUCCUGUCCAAGUUCGUCUUGAACGGGGCCCAUUUCCCAUAGAGGGUGCCAGGCCCGUAGCGACGGAGGACGGCGGCGAGAGGAACUCUCCUCAGAGUCGGGUUGCUUGAGAGUGCAGCCCUAAGUGGGUGGUAAACUCCAUCUAAGGCUAAAUAUUACCGCGAGACCGAUAGCGAACAAGUACCGUAAGGGAAAGUUGA